GAUGUCUCUCGAGUAUUACUGUAUAUACGAUUCUCUAUCGCGUGUGUGUUGUGCGUAUUACACGGGAGAAGAGUCACCAGACUCUACCUGAUGCAGUGUGUGUGUGUGUGUUGGGGAAGUGUUCGAUUCCCUCGAGGCUUUCUCGACCCUUUUUGCGAUAAGGCCGGGAUGUCGCAGUUUGGAGCUUCUUUUUUGCGUGGAAUAAGAAGCAGCUUUUCUUAAGUACGCCGGGAAUGCGGGAGACUAAACUUGUACAAUCAAAUUUUUUUCAAGUUUCGAAAACUGAAAUUUAAAUUUUAUAAGACCAUUUUCUAUGUAAAUAAGCUGAAAAGAACACGAAACGAACAAACGCUUGCAAGUGUUCGCAAAAGCACGAAUCGUUACAUGUAGUCAACUAAAAAUGAAUUUUUAACUUAAAAAAAGUGAAUGUAUUUAUUAUCGGCGGGUAAAAUAAAGAAAUAGCAGUGAUUUCUUCGUUAUAAAUAUAUGUACACCAUUAAACGCUCCAUGAUUCACCAGUAGAUGGCAGUGCCUGUCAGAAAACUCAUCAAGUUUACCUGCAGAGUAUUCGCAGAAUUGCAGAUCACAGCGCGUCGACAAAGUGUGUCUAAAAAGUUUGUUAUUACACGCAAACUUUUUGUGCAAAUUUUUUAAUUCUAAGAAAGAGACCAUGGCAGGAAAUGAGUUUCUGUACAUAGCAAGUGGAUUUCAUGAAGACUGUUUGCAGCUCUUGGAAUUAUUUAAAAGAUAUGAGAGUUAUACAUUUGACUCAUUUUGCAAAGCUUGGAAAGAGAUGAAAUUUUCAUUAGUUUUUCUAUGUCGCAGAACUUAUGCUGAAAUGCUAGAAUUUUGUGAAGAAGCACUCAACAUAGCUAAACAAAUUAUGCUUUCGUCUUUAGAGUUUAUUGACCAGAUUGGUGGACUUUAUCUCCUCUACGGUCUGUUUUAUAAAAUUCCAAUUGAAAACGUGAAGAUCAGAGUAACAAUGAAGGAAUGGCGAACUAUUUUACAGUUUCAUGAACAAAUAAAACAAGAAGAAUUUUAUGAUACAAGUUACAUUUUUGUUAAAUUGGUCAAAGACAAUGCUUUUUGUCAUUGUUUGUUUACAAGUGAAUAUGGUAUUGAGAAAAGUUUCCAACCACAUCAAGAAGUAAUCGAUAAUCCAUAUUCGGUUUUGCCACAGAUAGUUCAGCAGAUUGAAGAUGGAGAACUUUCUAAACUUCAAAGACUAAGUAAACUAUACCAUCAACAAAAGGCAAAACUAUUAAAUAACUCUUCGAGUGGUAAAUUGCAGUUGUUUGAUAAAAAUUUUGUUGAUGAGAUUCUAAUUGAUGUAGAACAUGUAGAAGAAAAAAGACAAUCAUUCAUUGGCUUGAGGAAAAAGAGAAGGGAUAUAAAUUUAACUAACAAAGAGAAGAAAUUAAAAUUGCAUAAUGAAGAUAAAAUCAGACCCAAGUUGGGUCAUGCAUUCGAUACAGACUCAUCAGACGAUGAAAAUAUGCAAAUGAAAAUGACCUUAGAAGAAGAAUAUUCAUAUAGUCUUCCUCAAACUUUUGAUAGAGAUGAAGAUAAUGAAAUGAAUGAUGGUGACAACAGUGAUAAUGAUCAUUCCAGAAUGGAAGAUUCUUCUGAAAAAUCUUACGAGGGAGAGAUGUCAUGAUAACACUUAUGUUAUUCCAUAAUGGAACUGUAAUCAUCAACUGAUUACUUCCAAAGUAAGAUUACAAUCUUAACGAACUUGUUGUUUCCAUGGACAUCAUGGGCUAAUAUCUCUACACGGGAUCCAUAUUGAUAUAUUCUUCCAUUAGGGUGGAGCAAAGCAGAGGCCGAACCAGAUCCACUCAGCGAAAGUACAAUGUUAUUCUACAUCAAAAACAACCAAUCUCAAACUCACGACUUACUUUUGAAUCGGCAGUGGAGUUCCUGGUCCUCCUGCGCCGAGACUUGCGCCCCUUGUUACCAGUCCUGGCCGUUGAAGAUGUUGUCGGAUCGCUGGAACCACCGGCGUUGCGUUCCAGAGGUUUGGCGACUUCCUUGGCAGGUCGCGACUCGACGCGACGCUCUUCCGAAAUCAUCCUUAUUGUGCACCAGGUGUAUCCGGAGUCCAGGAGACGACGAGAAAAGAUGCUUCUUUGCGCUCGCGAGAAAUAGUGACAAACGAAUUGCUGAUUGACGACUCGUUGCUGUGGCGAUCUACGCGAUAUUGUCACCGAGCGUCUAAGCAAACAAAAGAAAUAUGCAUCGAGAUAUAAUUAUAGAUACGCCUGCGAUGAGCGUUUAUUUUUCGGGGGCUUCGAUUCGAACGUUGAAAGGGAUUCUUCGCCAGCUUAUUUAUCGUUCCUUUGAUUCAGUUCAAUGACUUUUGGGGAAAAAACAUAGUUACCUUGUUGUCCUUUUUUUAAGACCGACGUCGAGGCGCAUAUUUAAAGGAUCAAACUUGUAUUCGAAAUUACCAACUUGUUUGAUUUCAAUGUGUAUUGGAUCGAAAUUUUUGUAAUAAAAUUUGUGAAAUUUAAAAAUAAGAUAAAAAAAAUUGCGUGUAAUGUGCCUUUUAUAAUAAAAUACAAACUUGAUCUCAUAAGGCUAAAUGGAUUUUGCAACUACAAGAUUUUGUAUGCCUCUCUUAUUCCAUUACGUUUUGAUAAGAAUUUUUAUCUAAAUAGGAAAUGCAGCGAAUGCGAAGUAUACGACGCGAAUCAUCGGAAACUCGCAAUUCUCGUCUAAUGUAAUCAAUAAUUGUCGACGUAUAAUGAAGUUGUGGAUUGACUGUCUUGCGAGCCUCUUGAAGAUUGUAUUCGUAAUUUUACUUUAUCGAGGUAAACAAGUUUUGUAGUAACGUAAUUUUUUUUCCAAUGCAAUUGUAUUUUUUUGUUUAGAAUAUGCGCUUUAUAUUCUGUAUAAUUUUUUAAAAUGAAAAAUAUUUUUAUUUAUUUAACUUAAAAGGAUGUAGAAAGUACUCUACGAUACUUACGAAACGAUUGAACCAAAUAUUCUAAUAUCGUAUUUUUUUAAAGCAAUUUUUUCUGUGUUAUUGCGGAAUAUAAACAUACCCUGAUCAAUUGAACAAGAAAGUAUGCAUAAAUCAAAUUCAUCUCAUUUGGUUUGUUACUAUACACACUACGUAUAUACUACUGAGACGUGCACUAAGUUUAUCGGUCUGUUUUCUGUAAGAUGACCAGGUCACUGUGUCGUUCAAUUGUUGGCAGAGCUAAGUGACUUUUUGUUCGCUACUUUAAACUCUGGAGAAAGACUCGUAUUAGACGCCAUGAGGUUUAUUAUUGGCAGUCAAACGAAUCACGAGAUUCCAUUCAGAGAAUAUUAUUGACCAUGUAAGUCGUUCACUUUGCCGCUAACGCAUCAGAAUGUUUUUGUUCGUUUUUCAGGCUCUUGACAUUCUUGAAUAAAGAGAUUACGUAAAUUUAA